rnacentral:rRNA from 1 species
UACGGGGGGAGCAAGCGUUGUUCGGAUUUACUGGGCGGAAAGGGCGCGUAGGCGGCCAGCGCAAGUCGGUUGUGAAAUCUCCGGGCUUAACUCGGAAAGGUCAACUGAUACUGCGCGGCUAGAGUGCAGAAGGGGCAACUGGAAUUCUCGGUGUAGCGGUGAAAUGCGUAGAUAUCGAGAGGAACACCUGCGGCGAAGGCGGGUUGCUGGGCUGACACUGACGCUGAGUGCGCGAAAGCCAGGGGAGCGAACGGG